UAAAAGAAUUCUUGGAAUAUUCCAGAAAAUAAAUGGAAUUCAUGGAUACAUUAUUGGAUAUAAUACUUAAUUUAAGGUUAUAAAUGCAGGGAAUCUUGGAAAGUUCAGAAAAAAAUGGAAUUAAUUGAGAAAUUAUUAGAAAUCAUACAUAUUUAAGGUUAUAAAUGCAAGGAAUCUUGGAAAUACCAAGAAAAAUAUAUGAAUUUAUGGAUACUUUAUUGGAUAUAAUACUUAAUUUAAGGUUAUAAAUGCAGGGAAUCUUGGAAAGUUCAGAAAAAAAUGGAAUUAAUUGAGAAAUUAUUAGAAAUCAUACAUAUUUAAGGUUAUAAAUGCAAGGAAUCUUGGAAAUACCAAGAAAAAUAUAUGAAUUUAUGGAUACUUUAUUGGAUAUAAUACUUAAUUUAAGGUUAUAAAUGAAGGGAAUCUUGGAAAGUUCAGAAAAAAAUGGAAUUAAUUGAGAAAUUAUUAGAAAUCAUACAUAUUUAAGGUUAUAAAUGCAAGGAAUCUUGGAAAUACCAAGAAAAAUAUAUGAAUUUAUGGAUACUUUAUUGGAUAAAAUACAUAUUUAUUGUUAUAAAUGAAAGGAAUCUUGGAUAUACCAAGAAAAAUAUUAGAAUUAAUGAUGAUUCUUUUUGAAAUCAUACAUUUUUUAGGUCACUAAUAAAAGAAUUC